GUGGGGAAUAUUGGACAAUGGGCGAAAGCCUGAUCCAGCCAUGCCGCGUGUGUGAAGAAGGUCUUCGGAUUGUAAAGCACUUUAAGUUGGGAGGAAGGGCAGUAAGUUAAUACCUUGCUGUUUUGACGUUACCGACAGAAUAAGCACCGGCUAACUUCGUGCCAGCAGCCGCGGUAAUACGAAGGGUGCAAGCGUUAAUCGGAAUUACUGGGCGUAAAGCGCGCGUAGGUGGUUUUGUAAGUUGGAGGUGAAAUCCCCGGGCGCAACCUGGGAACUGCCUCCAAAACUGAAUGACUAGAGUACGGUAGAGGGUAGUGGAAUUUCCUGUGUAGCGGUGAAAUGCGUAGAUAUAGGAAGGAACACCAGUGGCGAAGGCGACUACCUGGACUGAUACUGACACUGAGGUGCGAAAGCGUGGGGAGCAAACAGGAUUAGAUACCCGGGUAGUCC
rnacentral:rRNA from 1 species